GAAAGUAAAAGUCGUAACAAGGUCUCCGUUGGUGAACCAGCGGAGGGAUCAUUACCGAGUUUCCGAACUCCCAACCCCCUGUGAACAUACCUAUACGUUGCUUCGGCGGACGCGCACGCGCCCGCCGAGGGACACGCCAAACACUUUUGCAAACAGCCCGUCUUAUUCCAACAAAACAAAUGAAUCAAAACUUUCAACAACGGAUCUCUUGGUUCUG
rnacentral:misc_RNA from 1 species